rnacentral:snRNA from 1 species
GAGAGAAGCUCAUAUACUAAAUUUGGAACAAAACAGAGAUUAGUGUGGCCCCUGCACAAGGAUGACAAACAUUCAUGAAGAAUUCCAUAUUUUU